UACGUAGGGUGCGAGCGUUAAUCGGAAUUACUGGGCGUAAAGUGUGCGCAGGCGGCGCCGCAAGUCGAGUGUGAAAGCCCCGAGCUUAACUUGGGAACUUUGCGCUCGAAAACUAUUGGUGCUGGAGUGUGGCAGAGGAAGGUGGAAUUCCACGUGUAGCGGUGAAAUUGCGUAGAGAUGAUGGAGGAACACCGAUGGCGAAGGCAGCCUUCUGGGCCAACACUGACGCUCAUGCACGAAAGCGUGGGGAGCAAACAGGA
rnacentral:rRNA from 1 species